GGGCUUUCUCUUCCUGCUGUCCUCGGCGCAGAUGGUCGAGUCCAAAGAGCGGCGCGGGCGCGUCGAGAAGAACCUGCAGGCGUUAUUCAUCUUUCAGGAGUCGAGGAUGGUGGUCAAGUAUUCGUCCAGGCUGUUCGAGCCGGAGCCCCCGG